UUGUAAUUCAAAUGUUAUAUAAAUGUACAACUAUUGUCCACAAGAUCAAGAUGAACACAUAUUUCACAACCAUUGAUAAUAUGGUAAUAAGAAUACACACAUAUAUAUUGUUCACACGUUCAAACACGAGUCAAUCUACACAAAGCAAAGUUUGGCUAUCUUGGCAACCAUCCAGAAAACAAAAGUCACAUUAAAGGACCCCUAUUUGCUGGUCUAAAAUAGUUCAAACACUAAAUGGUCCAAAACACUUGAGUCACAUCCAUGAGCACAAGAUUUCUACUCCAUAAUACUUGAGCACCAAAUGGUCCAGAACACACAUACGUUCAUGAUUACAAUUAAGAUUGCUGGUCCAAAAUACUGUAGACAGCCAAAUGCUCCAUAACACUUCCAAGCCAUCACAUCCAUGCAUACUAGGUUGCUGAUUACGUGAAAAUACCCCACAAGAAUUUGGUAGAAAGUGGAGUCAGCUCAAGUGCUUUGAAGCUCGUAGGGAAAUUGGCAGCCAAGAGAAGCACAAGAAUUAAGUAUUUAUGACAUAUGUCCAUAACACACAUAACAUAGUUCUGUCAUACAUGAGGUAAGAUAUUUAUAAAAUGAUAAAAGGAAUCAUCAUGCAGACAUAUCUACAUAUAUAUAGAAUAUGCAUUUUUCCAUGGCAGACAAAUCUACAAAUUUUAUUCAACAUCUUACAUGCAACAAACUGUAGUAGGAUCAGCCAAUCUGAAGUUGUAUUUGUUCUACUACAAAGUUAGCUGAUGUAAUCUUCAAAGUUUGAAAAUAAUUGUGUUUGUACGUUAUCUGAUGAAGUAGAACGGAAAUGUACAACUUCUGACCCCAAAAACUGUAGUAUGUGAAGUUCAGUUUAUGCCAUGUGAUCUUCAGAUUGUGACCACCAAAGGGAUAACACCAAACUGAUUUGUGUAUGUUAACUCCUAUAAGCAAUGUAUGUGCGCUUCAGAUCAUGUUGUGUUAUUUUCAUAUUUUUUAUUAUAAACUGCAGUAUGUGGAGUUCAGUUUUAUGAACAAGAUACAAAAUGUUAUCUAGUAAUGCUAUAGGUUCAGGCAGAAAUGUCGCGCUUUAGUCAAGGCUCAAAAUGAUCUAGGUAUAUUUCUAAGAGAGAAACAAUAAACUUAAUGUAUGUAUUAUGUUGUAGUACCUGCACCUCCUGGUACAUUAGUUGCCAUCUUGUCAUCCUUCAUCUACAACAAUAACCAUUACUUAAUAGAAAUAAAUGUUGCCUUCUUAUCAGUUUUUUUCUAGAAUAAUCCUUAUCAGUUUGAGGCUGCUUCUUUCACUGCAAAUUGCUCUGAAAAAAUGUGUAGACAUGUAUCAACCAUCCUGCAAAAAAAAGAAAAUGUGUUCAAUAUAGAUAAAUCGGCUUCCGAAAUCAAAUCAUAAAGUAAAGGCCAAAGGUCUGCAAGUUAUUUUCAUAUUGUGUUAUUUUCAUAUUUUUUAUUAUAAACUGCAGUAUGUGGAGUUCAGUUUUAUGAACAAGAUACAAAAUGUUAUCUAGUAAUGCUAUAAGUUCAGGCAGAAAUGUCGCGCUUUAGUCAAGGCUCAAAAUGAUCUAGGUAUAUUUCUAAGAGAGAAACAAUAAACUUAAUGUAUGUAUUAUGUUGUAGUACCUGCACCUCCUGGUACAUUAGUUGCCGUCUUGUCAUCCUUCAUCUACAACAAUAACCAUUACUUAAUAGAAAUAAAUGUUGCCUUCUUAUCAGUUUUUUUCUAGAAUAAUCCUUAUCAGUUUGAGGCUGCUUCUUUCACUGCAAAUUGCUCUGACAAAAUGUGUAGACAUGUAUCAACCAUCCUGCAAAAAAAGAAAAUGUGUUCAAUAUAGAUAAAUCGGCUUCCGAAAUCAAAUCAUAAAGUAAAGGCCAAAGGUCUGCAAGUUAUGUACUUGGUUAGUAUAAUGAAUGAACUUGUCAAAAGAACAAAUAUUAUGCCAACAACCAGAAUGAACACGAACAUCUCAUAUAAGUAUUGAAUGUCUGAAUCCUGAAAUUAUCUAGCCACUGCACCAAGGUGGCGGACUCUACAAUUUGAAUUCACAUGUCCAAGCAAUGCGGUGUGAGGCACUAUGAGAAGGUGCCUCUAAGGUUUGAAUGUGAUCGGAACUUGCAAUUCUCCCCGCUGGAAACCAUAUGCAGCUUCAAGUAGUUGAAGGUAUGUGGAUGUAGAGGAAGAUGAGAGUAUAUGUUGAGCCUAAGGUUUGAAUGCUAAUGCCAUAUUCAUGCAAAAGGAAAACAACACCGUGCUCACAUAAAAAAAUUAUAUCAAAAGAUGACACUGUUAUUCAUAAAUAUUAUGUGUAGAUGACGAUGUAAUUCAAAAGUGAUGGAGAAUAAAAUUGGAAUGUGCCUCCUUAAACAUUGACUGGACUUUGGGUCCACCUCGGCGCCCUCCGCUCGCCCACCUCUCGUCCUUGCUGCCAGGUAGUAUCGCGUACUCGCCGCCCUGCAAGCUCACCAUCAUGUACACCCGCUCCUGCAGCACCAAGCCCGUUGACCCAAAAUUAAACCAUGAAGCAUCAGAAACUACAUGAUGUUACAGCACAAACAAUAUUCAGUUCUACAGCAAAGUUGAAGCCAACUCAAUCGUUUGCACUAUAUAACUUAGAAAUAUGUAUUGACAAUCAAAAGUGCUUCCUGUAAAAAAAAUCUCAGAGGUUAUGCGCCUCCAGGAGCCUCCGUUUGACCAUGCCAACUCACCCAAAAAACUGGACACAAUGGGUCACGGCUUUAAAUAACAAAACUGAACCACCUAGAAAUCAGGAAGUCAGACAAUGCUAACAACAUAUGAACUUCCACCCAUAUCAAAUGUUAAAUGAAUAAUCACUUUCUAAUUUAAAGGAGAUAAAGAGUUCAUAAUAAUAUGAUGAAUAUAAAAAUGAAAAACAGCUAUGAGACAUGGAUGUCAGAUGGCUUGCUAUGUUUUGUAGCACCAAUCUGUGUAUCCAAAUUGGGAUGCUGAGAAAUAGGAAUCUGAACUAUAAAAUCAACACAUCUUAGCACAAGAUAUCAAAGUGUUGCCCUAAUUUUCAGAGUUCAGCAAUGACAUAUGGUUCAAAGUUCAGCAAUGUACAAGCACGCAUCAUGCAGCAGCACAGAAAAGGAUAUCUUAGCAGGAGCCGAUGCGUACCUAUUGGAAAAGACGAGUCUUGUGACGAGAUCUGCAGCAACGGACGGCUGGCUUCGGGAGGGGCGCAACGGGAUGGAGAGCUCACGGAUGGAUCUCUACCGGCGGCAGAAAUAAGAUGGCGGACGAGGUUGGGGGCUGGAGGACGGGGAUGGGGGUGGAUCCCUGAACGUGAGGGCCGAUUUCGCCUGGAUCUCAGUCGGAUUGCGAGGACGGCGGCUGGAUCUCGGGCGGAGCGCGAGGACAGCGAUGGGAUCUCGGGCAGAGUGCAAGGACGGCGGAUGGAUCUCGGGCGGAGCGCGAGGACGGCGGCGACAGUAGCAGGACCGUGGGGUGGAGCAUGGAUACGGUGGCGACGGCGUGAGGGCCGUGGGGUGGAGCGUGGAUACGGUGGCGACGGCGUGAGGGCCGUGGGUUGAGCGCUAGGAUGGGGGGAUAGGGAUGGGGUGCGAGGGCGGCGGUGGCGGCUGGCACGGGUAAGGUUAUGGACUUGGUCCGAUUUGGGGGCUAUUUUGCACGGGCC
rnacentral:lncRNA from 1 species